GAGAAGGCUGAUCUGCAGGGGAACUCAUGGCGCUGUGAGCUGUGGAAGAUGGAGGAAAGCCAGGGAGCAGCUCUUGCAAAACCCUUCUGAGGGGAAAGGAAGGAUGUGUGAGGGAAAACACUGCUCUGGCUGCCAGUCGUUCUUGCCAGAACAGCUCAGCUGCUGGUGAGAGUGUGCUGGAUUGGGGGUGCCAGCCUGUGCCCCAAUGUUGAGUGUAGGGGAACUCAGAUGAAGUUAUAUAACCUGCCCUGGGGGCUCCUGCACAGAUAAGCUGGCAGAGGCCACUGGUGGUUCCUGACAAUUUCUGGAAUAGCCUUGACCGGAGGAGACACAAAAGAAGUAGAGAGCGACCUUUGCUUUCAAGGAGAUUAUGAUUCAAUUUUGAAAGAGAAUGCAAAAUGCAAUUCGACUUCUCUGCCCUGCACCCAACUCCCGAUGCUGG
rnacentral:lncRNA from 1 species